AUUCCAUGGUUUGGGCAUUUCCUCAUCAUCUCAUUAAACUUAUUCCAUGCCUUGUGGUAGCUUUCUCCCUCUUUUUGUUGAAAGGUUUGAAUCUCCAAUUUGAUUUU
rnacentral:snoRNA from 1 species